CGCUGUGCUAUCAUGCUAAACAACCGAAAUGCCAAAUUCCUGAUCACAUUCCAUCCACAAAUGAAUGAACAAUGUGAUCCACACAUGCAGAUGCUAUUUCCUGUUCCCCAGGCAGCACACAGACACAGGGGCAGCUAUGAUAGAGGAGUUAACAGAACAAUAAGGAACUGUCCUCCUCUCAGGGAUCACAAAAUAACAACUAUUCCCCACAGUGCUGCACGGGCCACGUCCACAUUUGGUGUCUGGGAAGGGUGAGAGAGGUCUGACUGUGAGAAGCCUGGGCUGGUGUCUGGGAAGGGUGAGAGAGGUCUGACUGUGAGAAGCCUGGGCUGGUGUCUGGGAGGGGUGAGAGAGGUCUGACUGUGAGAAGCCUGGGCUGGUGUCUGGGAGG
ensembl:lncRNA